rnacentral:tRNA from 1 species
AAUCUUAUAUUUUAUUAAAAAAAUAUUAAAUUGCAAAUUUAAAGAAGAAAAUUACUAAGAUUU